rnacentral:rRNA from 1 species
GACUCCUACGGGAGGCAGCAGUGAGGAAUAUUGGUCAAUGGGCGCAAGCCUGAACCAGCCAUGCCGCGUGCAGGAUGACGCAUCUAUGGUGUGUAAACUGCUUUUGUACGGGAAGAAACCCUGCCACGUGUGGCAGAUUGACGGUACCGUAAGAAUAAGGAUCGGCUAACUCCGUGCCAGCAGCCGCGGUAAUACGGAGGAUCCAAGCGUUAUCCGGAAUCAUUGGGUUUAAAGGGUCCGUAGGCGGUUUUAUAAGUCAGUGGUGAAAUCCGGCAGCUCAACUGUCGAACUGCCAUUGAUACUGUAGGACUUGAAUUAUUGUGAAGUAACUAGAAUAUGUAGUGUAGCGGUGAAAUGCUUAGAUAUUACAUGGAAUACCCAUUGCGAAGGCAGGUUACUAACAAUACAUUGACGCUGAUGGACGAAAGCGUGGGGAGCGAACAGGAUUAGAUA